rnacentral:lncRNA from 1 species
GUAAUCUAUUUUCAUCCGCUCUCCUGUAGCGGAAUAUAAACGAGUGGUACCCUUUUGAAGGUACUUCAACGGGAUAAGGCCUUUGACAAUACAAUUGCGAUCGGCCCCACUAUCAAAAAGAGCAACUUUGUUAAUAACAAAGUUUUUAGCAAUUACCAAUUUGAUUGGUAUAUGCUGACUGAUAGAUCUAAUUGCUGCUACCGA